GUAGGGCCGGGUCAGGUGGGUUGGGUCAGGUGGGCCGGUCCGGGUCAGUAGGGCCGAGUCAGUAGGGCUGAGUCAGGUGGGCCGAGUCAGUAGGGCCGGGCCGAGUCAGUAGGGCUGAGUCAGGUGGGCCGGUCCAGGUCAGUAGGGCCGGGCCGAGUCAGUAGGGCCGGGCCGAGUCAGUAGGGCCGGGCCGAGUCAGUAGGGCCGGGCCGAGUCAGUAGGGCUGAGUCAGGUGGGUUGGGUCAGGUGGGCCGGUCCAGGUCAGUAGGGCCGGGUCAGGUGGGCCGGUCCAGGUCAGUAGGGUUGCCUCUUGAUGAAUCUGGAGAACAUGGCGAAGGCAGCG